UUGCUAAUAUUGUCAGCUAAGUGGCGGACGGGUGAGUAAUAUAUGGUUAGUCUGCCCCAAAGAAGAGAAUAAUUGUUGGAAACGACUUGUAACGCUCUAUAUGCCUUUAUUACAUAAGUAAGCAAGGGAAACAUUUGUGGCUUUGGGAUGAGACUGUACGGUAUCAGCUAGUUGGUGAGGUAAUGGCUCACCAAGGCAAUGACAUCUAACUGGUUUGAGAGGAUGAUCAGUCACACUGGAACUGAGACACGGUCCAGACUCCUACGGGAGGCAGCAGUGGGGAAUAUUGCACAAUGGAGGAAACUCUGAUGCAGCGACGCCGCGUGGAGGAUGACACAUUUCGGUGCGUAAACUCCUUUUAUAUGAGAAGAUAAUGACGGUAUCAUAUGAAUAAGCACCGGCUAACUCCGUGCCAGCAGCCGCGGUAAUACGGGGGGUGCAAGCGUUACUCGGAAUCACUGGGCGUAAAGAGCAUGUAGGCGGGUUUGUAAGUUGGAGGUGAAAUCCUAUGGCUUAACCAUAGAGCUGCUUCCAAAACUGCAGACCUAGAAUAUGGGAGAGGUAGAUGGAAUUUCUGGUGUAGGGGUAAAAUCCGUAGAGAUCAGAAGGAAUACCGAUUGC
rnacentral:rRNA from 1 species